GAGCUAAAGCCCCUCUAGGGGGCUCCGCUCCACUCAUAUAACCACAGUUACAAUAGGUAACUAACGUUUUGUGCUGUGUUGCUACUGUACUGGAUUUAAGGCGAUUAUGGUUUCUAAUUCUCUGAACUGCUGUACUUUUUAUGUUUGAGGAAAAUUCUGUGUUCACUUGAAUCACAACACUCGGUGAAUACAUUUUAUUUUUGACAAUUUCACUGUUCCACAUUUGGCUGAUAAUGUUCCCCCCACAGCAUAGCUACUGUAUAUUCCUAACGUUAACAAUCCGGUUUUGUUCAUGUUUUUUUGCAGAUAACCGGUUAUGCUCUGGCCAAGGUAUCUUCACCCAAGAGACCUACUGUUGGUCAAUCGUUUUGGUUUUAAAGAAGUUGCAUCGAUUCCAGAAAACCAGGAAAAUGUUGAGCCAUCUGUAGACUUCAGAGCUGAACCUGGUUUCUCCCCAGUAAUCCAGACUCCACUUCACAGAGCCAAGAGUUUGAGUACAAGUGAUAGAUAUUAUUUGUGACGUUUUUUGUCUUGGAAACUAUUGCUUCUAUUUAAGAUUAGGAAUUUUAUCCAUAAUCUGUUUUUCAUUAGGGAACAUGACUUUCUGGAUAAAAGGUGUCGAGCUCGUCAAGUACUAAGCUUUACACCACCAGCAGCAAAUCUACCCUGGAAGCAUAUGGGUGAAAACGCUGGAGGAGAAAGUCAUCGCUUUGUUAUUGGCCCUUGGACGCCCCUGGCAUCUCGUGUACAGCACAAAGUUUUCAGCUAUGAAGAUUUCCAGUGACUCCAGAAUGAAAACCAAGCUCUGAGGGAGGAGAACCAAGCCCUGAAGGAAUGCAAUGCACAAGCAGCUUCGGGUUGACAGCGGCUCACUUCAAGAGCAGGUGAAGCAAGUAGGGACAAUGUUGAAGACGUUUGCUCUCACUGGGCAAUCAGGUGCGUUACCUGAAAGGAGCAUCUGACCGUGAAGGGAGAAAAAGCCGCACAGCUGAGAAGGACCUACAACUGACCCCUUAAACCUAGGCUGACUACUGAAACCCCAGCAUCACUGACAACUGGAACACUUUCUUUAUCCUGCAGUCAGUAACAUCAAGAAGCCAGAAGUGCCAGACUACACUCACCAAAUCCACCCUGUUUUUUUUGUGUAUUUUAACUUUAGUAUUGGCUUAUUUUAUUCAUUCUUAACGAUUCUAUUAGUUAUUAAAUCCUAUUUCAUACCUGUUACUUGAUAUUGCACAUUAACUAGUACCAAAAUUCUGCUUUCAUUCCAUCACAGUGCUUAACUGUUAUUCUACUGUUAAAUAUAGCUUGUAAAUCCUUGUGCCACAGGUCAGCAAUGCCAUUAUUACGGUCUAUUCUACUCUAGAGCUUUACUCUAAAUUAUUACCACUUUUCCUAUUGUUAGAAAUGGCUUGAACAUGUGAUGUUAUACCUUGAUUUAUUUGGUAUCCUGCACAUUCUUUGGUACCAAAUAUCCUCAUUACUUGUUUAUGUUUACUGGUAAUUAUUUUCAUCCCAGAGCUGACCUCUUUAUAUUAUUAACAAUUAUUGUGUUAGUGUUAUAAUUUGCUUGUAUGGCUGUUUUCUUUUACCAAA
ensembl:lncRNA